rnacentral:rRNA from 1 species
GACGAACGCUGGCGGCGUGCUUAACACAUGCAAGUCGAACGGAAAGGCCCUGCUUUUGUGGGGUGCUCGAGUGGCGAACGGGUGAGUAACACGUGAGUAACCUGCCCUUGACUUUGGGAUAACUUCAGGAAACUGGGGCUAAUACCGGAUAGGAGCUCCUGCUGCAUGGUGGGGGUUGGAAAGUUUCGGCGGUUGGGGAUGGACUCGCGGCUUGUCAGCUUGUUGGUGGGGUAGUGGCUUACCAAGGCUUUGACGGGUAGCCGGCCUGAGAGGGUGACCGGCCACAUUGGGACUGAGAUACGGCCCAGACUCCUACGGGAGGCAGCGGUGGGAAAUAUUGCACAAUGGGCGGAAGCCUGAUGCAGCAACGCCGCGUGCGGAAUAACGGCCUUCGGGUUGUAAACCGCUUUCGCCUGUGACGAAGCGUGAGUGACGGUAAUGGAUAAAGAAGCACCGGCUAACUACGUG